UACGUAGGGGGCGAGCGUUGUCCAGAUUCAUUGGGCGUAAAGAGCUCGUAGGCGGCUUGGCAAGUCGGGUGUGAAAACUCCAGGCUCAACCUGGAGUCGCCAUCCGAUACUGCCAUGGCUAGAGUCCGGUAGGGGCCCACGGAAUUCCUGGUGUAGCGGUGAAAUGCGCAGAUAUCAGGAGGAACACCGAUGGCGAAGGCAGUGGGCUGGGCCGGCACUGACGCUGAGAAGCGAAAGCGUGGGGAGCGAACAGG
rnacentral:rRNA from 1 species